GCUAGUCGCACGAGUUCAGACUCGUGGCGAAUAGCUCAGUAACACGUGGCCAAACUACCCUUCGGAGCACGAUACCCUCGGGAAACUGAGGCUAAUAGUGCAUACCACAAUCCAGCUGGAAUGAGGAUUGUGCCAAACGCUCCGGCGCCGAAGGAUGUGGCUGCGGCCGAUUAGGUAGACGGUGGGGUAACGGCCCACCGUGCCAAUAAUCGGUACGGGUCAUGAGAGUGAGAACCCGGAGACGGAAUCUGAGACAAGAUUCCGGGCCCUACGGGGCGCAGCAGGCGCGAAACCUUUACACUGCACGCCAGUGCGAUAAGGGAAUCCCAAGUGCGCAGGCAUAGAGCCUGCGCUUUUGUCCACCGUAGGGAGGUGGACGAAUAAGGGCUGGGCAAGACCGGUGCCAGCCGCCGCGGUAAUACCGGCAGCCCGAGUGAUGGCCGAUCUUAUUGGGCCUAAAGCGUCCGUAGCUGGCCGCACAAGUCCAUCGGAAAAUCCACCCGCCCAACGGGUGGGCGUCCGGUGGAAACUGUGUGGCUUGGGACCGGAAGGCGCGACGGG
rnacentral:rRNA from 1 species